rnacentral:rRNA from 1 species
GAUGAACGCUGGCGGUAUGCUUAACACAUGCAAGUCGAACGGACUCUUCGGAGUUAGUGGCGGACGGGUGAGUAACGCGUGAGAAUCUGGCUUUGGGUUCGGGACAACCACUGGAAACGGUGGCUAAUACCGGAUGUGCCGAGAGGUAAAAGAGAAAUUGCCUGAAGAUGAGCUCGCGUCUGAUUAGCUAGUUGGUGAGGUAAAGGCUCACCAAGGCAGCGAUCAGUAGCUGGUCUGAGAGGAUGACCAGCCACACUGGGACUGAGACACGGCCCAGACUCCUACGGGAGGCAGCAGUGGGGAAUUUUCCGCAAUGGGCGAAAGCCUGACGGAGGAAUACCGCGUGAGGAAAGAAGGCUCUUGGGUUGUAAACCUCUUUUCUUAGGGAAGAACAAAAUGACGGUACCUAAGGAAUCAGCAUCGGCUAACUCCGUG